rnacentral:misc_RNA from 1 species
GAUGAAGGAACGCAGCGAAAUGCGAUAAGUAAUGUGAAUUGCAGAAUUCAGUGAAUCAUCGAAUCUUUGAACGCACAUUGCGCCCGCCAGUAUUCUGGCGGGCAUGCCUGUUCGAGCGUCAUUUCAACCAUCAAGCCCCGGGCUUGUGUUGGGGACCUGCGGCUGCCGCAGGCCCUGAAAUGCAGUGGCGGGCUCGCUGUCACUCCGAGCGUAGUAGUUACAUCCCGCUCUGGGCGUGCUGCGGGUUCCGGCCGUUAAAAGCCUUAUUUACCCAAGGUUGACCUCGGAUCAGGUAGGAAGACCCGCUGAACUUAAGCAUAUCAAUAAGCGGAGGA